rfam:Candidatus Levybacteria bacterium RIFCSPLOWO2_01_FTLL_36_13 rifcsplowo2_01_scaffold_2731, whole genome shotgun sequence.
CGGGGAGUAGUUUAACGGUAGAAUACGCGCAUGGGGUGCGUGUGGCUGGAGUUCAAUUCUCCGCUCCCCGA